rnacentral:rRNA from 1 species
UUAACGACUCUCGGCAACGGAUAUCUCGGCUCUCGCAUCGAUGAAGAACGUAGCGAAAUGCGAUACUUGGUGUGAAUUGCAGAAUCCCGUGAACCAUCGAGUCUUUGAACGCAAGUUGCGCCCUAGGCCACCGGGCUGAGGGCACGCCUGCCUGGGCGUCACGC